rnacentral:rRNA from 1 species
GGCCUUGAAUGUCGAGUACUUUCAGAGAUGGAUACUGGUGCCUUCGGGAACUCGAACACAGGUGCUGCAUGGCUGUCGUCAGCUCGUGUCGGGAGAUGUUGGGUUAAGUCCCGCAACGAGCGCAACCCUUGUCCUUAGUUGCCAGCACGUAAUGGUGGGAACUCUAAGGAGACCGCCGGUGACAAACCGGAGGAAGGUGGGGAUGACGUCAAGUCAUCAUGGCCCUUACGGCCAGGGCUACACACGUACUACAAUGGUAGGGACAGAGGGCUGCAAGCCGGCGACGGUAAGCCAAUCCCAGAAACCCUAUCUCAGUCCGGAUUGGAGUCUGCAACUCGACUCCGUGAAGUCGGAAUCGCUAGUAAUCGCAGAUAAGCAUUGCUGCGGUGAAUACGUUCCCGGGUCUUGUACACACCG